rnacentral:rRNA from 1 species
AGCGAACGCUGGCGGCAGGCUUAACACAUGCAAGUCGAGCGGGCACUUCGGUGUCAGCGGCAGACGGGUGAGUAACACGUGGGAACGUGCCCUUCGGUUCGGAAUAACUCAGGGAAACUUGAGCUAAUACCGGAUACGCCCUUUUGGGGAAAGGUUUACUGCCGAAGGAUCGGCCCGCGUCUGAUUAGCUAGUUGGUGGGGUAAUGGCCUACCAAGGCGACGAUCAGUAGCUGGUCUGAGAGGAUGAUCAGCCACACUGGGACUGAGACACGGCCCAGACUCCUACGGGAGGCAGCAGUGGGGAAUAUUGGACAAUGGGCGGCAAGCCUGAUCCAGCCAUGCCGCGUGAGUGAUGAAGGCCUUAGGGUUGUAAAGCUCUUUCGACGGGACGAUAAUGACGGUACCCGUAGAAGAAGCCCCGGCUAACU